rnacentral:rRNA from 1 species
GAUGAACGCUGGCGGCGUGCCUAAUACAUGCAAGUCGAGCGAACAGACGAGGAGCUUGCUCCUCUGACGUUAGCGGCGGACGGGUGAGUAACACGUGGAUAACCUACCUAUAAGACUGGGAUAACUUCGGGAAACCGGAGCUAAUACCGGAUAAUAUAUUGAACGGCAUGGAUCAAUAGAGAAAGACGGUUUUGCUGUCACUUAUAGAUGGAUCCGCGCCGCAUUAGCUAGUUGGUAAGGUAACGGCUUACCAAGGCGACGAUGCGUAGCCGACCUGAGAGGGUGAUCAGCCACACUGGAACUGAGACACGGUCCAGACUCCUACGGGAGGCAGCAGUAGGGAAUCUUCCGCAAUGGGCGAAAGCCUGACGGAGCAACGCCGCGUGAGUGAUGAAGGUCUUCGGAUCGUAAAACUCUGUUAUUAGGGAAGAACAAAUGUGUAAGUAACUAUGCACGUCUUGACGGUACCUAAUCAGAAAGCCACGGCUAACUACGUG